UACGUAGGGUGCGAGCGUUAAUCGGAAUUACUGGGCGCAAAGCGUGCGCAGGCGGUUCGUUAAGACAGAUGUGAAAUCCCCGGGCUUAACCUGGGAACUGCAUUUGUGACUGGCGAGCUAGAGUAUGGCAGAGGGGGGUAGAAUUCCACGUGUAGCAGUGAAAUGCGUAGAGAUGUGGAGGAAUACCGAUGGCGAAGGCAGCCCCCUGGGCCAAUACUGACGCUCAUGCACGAAAGCGUGGGGAGCAAACAGG
rnacentral:rRNA from 1 species